UGGGGAAUCUUCCGCAAUGGACGAAAGUCUGACGGAGCAACGCCGCGUGAGUGAUGACGGCCUUCGGGUUGUAAAGCUCUGUUAAUCGGGACGAAAGGCCUUCUUGCGAAUAGUGAGAAGGAUUGACGGUACCGGAAUAGAAAGCCACGGCUAACUACGUGCCAGCAGCCGCGGUAAUACGUAGGUGGCAAGCGUUGUCCGGAAUUAUCGGGCGUAAAGCGCGCGCAGGCGGAUAGGUCAGUCUGUCUUAAAAGUUCGGGGCUUAACCCCGUGAUGGGAUGGAAACUGCCAAUCUAGAGUAUCGGAGAGGAAAGUGGAAUUCCUAGUGUAGCGGUGAAAUGCGUAGAUAUUAGGAAGAACACCAGUGGCGAAGGCGACUUUCUGGACGAAAACUGACGCUGAGGCGCGAAAGCCAGGGGAGCGAACGGGAUUAGAUACCCCGGUAGUCCUGGCCGUAAACGAUGGGUACUAGGUGUAGGAGGUAUCGACCCCUUCUGUGCCGGAGUUAACGCAAUAAGUACCCCGCCUGGGGAGUACGACCGCAAGGUUG
rnacentral:rRNA from 1 species